UGGGGACAGGACAGAUGAGGCAGAAGGGGAGGUUAGGGAGGUUUGAAGAGUGAGAAGAACUUCUGCAGUGGCUGACUUGGAAGAUGAAGGAGGUUAUGAACCAGGGAAUGGGGGCAGCCUCUAGAGGCUGAGAACCUGCUGACACCUACCCACAACCGCUAAGGAAAUGAAGACUUUAAUUCCACAACUGCAUGCAACUAAACUCAGCCAACAACCUGAAUAAGUCGGAAAAAGGCUUCUCCAGAGCCUCCAGAUAAGAGGCCAGGCUGGCGACACCUUGAUUUUGACCUUGUGAGACCUAGAGCAGAGAAACUAGCCAAGAUCACUCAGACUUCUGAUCUACAGAACUGUGAGACCGUAAAUUUAUGUUGUAUUAAGCCACUAAUUGCGUGGGAAUUUGUUACAGGAGCAAUAGAAAAUGAAUACACCUUCUGAUGUAGUUUAAUCAGUUGACAUUAGGGGUGACACCAAGAUGUGCUACACUGAACCCAACUUCUGCAUGUUUAAGACAAGCAUAUACAACUGAGUGUUGAAAGAAGACAAAAUCGUUUUCAUCACGAAGAAUAUGUGCUCAGUAAGAAUCAGAAUGUUCAAUUGUGUGAAGGUGGGAGAUGGGAAGAUUGGUAUUAUGGCCUGGAUCCAGAAAUCAGUCUUCCACUAUAGGAAAUGGGAAUUUAAAGAUGAUCAGAAGACAGUUGGGAGCAGAGUGAGAAUAAGAACCCUCAACUGCUGUCUCACCUUUCAGAUCACGAAGAAGUUUUUUACAAUGAGCAGAACACUCAACCUGAAAGCAGAAUGGAUUGAGUCACUGCAGCGUGGCAGUGGAAUGGUGUUUGAUGUUGGCAAAGGAAACAUGUACUUCUAGACUGGACAGUUUUCCCUUAGUUUACAGUUUCCAAAUAGAGACAUCACUUUGAAAUAACAUGGAGAACAUACAUGGAUGUACUGAACGAAGAAUAAAGUCUGUGUUGCAGUCCUGUCUCCAUUGACUUUUACAAAUAUGGCUUUGGAUGAAUCACCUAAGUUUUAUUUUUGAGAAUUUACGCUUACCAUGUAUAAAAUGAUAUUGCUAAUAUGUUUGCUGCCUACCCCAUUGGGUUUUGUGAGGAAUAAAUGAUAAUGCUAAGAAAAAGGCAUUGAGAAUUAUAACUCA
ensembl:lncRNA LINC00326 long intergenic non-protein coding RNA 326